CAGUCGCCACGGUAAUACGUAGGUCCCGAGCGUUGUCCGGAUUUAUUGGGCGUAAAGCGAGCGCAGGCGGUUUGAUAAGUCUGAAGUUAAAGGCUGUGGCUCAACCACAGUUCGCUUUGGAAACUGUCAAACUUGAGUGCAGAAGGGGAGAGUGGAAUUCCAUGUGUAGCGGUGAAAUGCGUAGAUAUAUGGAGGAACACCGGUGGCGAAAGCGGCUCUCUGGUCUGUAACUGACGCUGAGGCUCGAAAGCGUGGGGAGCGAACAGGAUUAGAUACCCCCGUAGUCCCUGUCUCUUAUACA
rnacentral:rRNA from 1 species